GAAUCCGGUUGAUCCUGCCGGACCUGACUGCUAUCGGAUUGAUACUAAGCCAUGCGAGUCAUUGUAGUAAUACAAGGCAGACGGCUCAGUAACGCGUAGUCAACCUAACCUAUGGACGGGAAUAACCUCGGGAAACUGAGAAUAA
rnacentral:rRNA from 1 species